rnacentral:miRNA from 1 species
UGGAAGUAAUAGGUUCUCACU